AACGUAGGACGCGAGCGUUAUCCGGAGUUACUGGGCGUAAAGCGCGGGCAGGCGGUCUGACAAGUCGGAUGUGAAAUCCCCAGGCUUAACCUGGGAACUGCAUCCGAUACUGGAUGGCUUGAAUUCGGGAGAGGGAUGCAGAAUUCCAGGUGUAGCGGUGAAAUGCGUAGAUAUCUGGAGGAAUACCGGUGGCGAAGGCGGCAUCCUGGACCGACAUUGACGCUGAACGGCGAAAGCUAGGGGAGCAAACGGG
rnacentral:rRNA from 1 species